UUCCUUUGACUGAUUUUACUAGAAAACAGAUGUCCCUGUUUAGAAGCUAGUCAAUCCUCAGUGUCAUCACCCUGCCUGCUGACUGGGCAGGGUAACUCCUCAGGUCACCACCCUCUCCAGCCUGCCUUGGGCUUGCUGGUGACUCUGAACAUCCGCCAUCCAUCGCUCCAUCACCUAGAGCAAGAUGGGCAGGCUCCUGAGGAUGUUCAGGUGGCUCCAGAGCCUGAGGGAAGCAGCUGCCAUCUUCCCCAGGAGCAGAGUGGCCCCUCCAUCCCCGCUGGCGGGGAAGGAGCUCCCGACCAGGCUAGGAGGUGGAAGUGCCCAGCCUUCUGGCAGAGGAAACCCACUUCCGGAGCAGGCACCGAGGUGGGAGAGGCACUGGCCAGGCCGAAAAGGAGCUGGCCCAGGAUGCGGCGAGGCAGACAGGAUCCAGCCCAGGAGGGGAGCCGGGCAGGGUGGCUCCGGGGCUUGUUGUGUGGGAAGCACCGGCCCCAGGAGCCCAGCCCUGAUUCCCAGCAGGAGGCAUCACCCUGCCCGGUCACUGAGGAUCUUCCAGCCUCCCCAGGGCAGGAGGUGGAGGAUCCCUGUCCCAGCACCAGCAGCUCAGCCCGCUCCCCAUGGGAUAGCAGCAGCGCCUGGGACUUGGGCAGCAGCGAGGCCGAUGGGCGCAGCUGCUUUGUUCCAGGGAGAGGAUGAGGAGGAGGAAUGGAUGGACGUGGCCACAGAGGAGGCUGCUUUCAAGAACAUCCGAGAGCAGCUCCAGGGCUGAGAAAAGGUGCAGGAUGAGGCCCAGCAGCUCAUCUUCCUGCACGCCAUCCACCCCGCGUGUCUCGCUGCACAGCAGAGAGGGCAGGACACAUUGGAGCUGCAGUGCUGCAAGGCAGCUGUGGUGGAGAGGAUGGUGGAGCUCACUGAGGAGCUGCCUGAUAACUCUCCACCCAGCACCGUCCUCGCUAACUCCCUGAUUGCUGUGGGCAACCUCAGCACCAUAACACCUGCCCUGGAGCCAGAGCUGGAGACACACCUCCUUCGAGCUGCCCCGCAUGCCAUCCGUCUUCACCCUGAGCACGGAGAAGGACACCACCCAAGUCCAGGAUCUGCAUAGGGUCUUGCCAGACCUCCUGGAUGCCAUGUUGGAGAACCUGCUGGCAGAGUCCCCAGACACCGACAGGCUCCACUACAUCUUGGAGAUGAGCUCGAUGAGAGGGCACAUUAACUACUGGAUCGUGUCCAGGGUGUCACGGGAGAGAGCCAGGGCCAUUAGGAGCAGCACGGCCCUGCUCAGAUCCACCAUUACCCUCCCUGAGUUUGAUAACUCAGCAGAAUUUCCCAGGAUGGGUCACCAUGUGGCACAGCUGGCUCUGUUCAUCGGUGACCCAGACAAGGACAUCAGCCGGCAGGCCAGGGAGGAGGUUUACCGUGCUCUACCAGCUGCUGCUGCACCAGAGGGGGCUGACCAUCCAUGAGACGAAGACCUGUGGUGCUGGGACUGGCACCGGGACAGCAGGCUCCUGGGCUACAGGAACACAGCCAGGGUGGGGGAGCAGGAGGACGUCACAGCAACAUGAUGCACCAGCUCCACAUCAUCCGGCACUUGCGCCAGGUGCCCGAGGCAUUGCAGGGGCUGUGCCUCUGAGGCCACCAGCAGCUCCCGCUCCCUGCUGCAGGAGCCUCCUUCCCAGCUGUCUUCCAGGCCCUGGGAUCUGGUACAGCCUCCCCGACAGGCGCAUCCUACAGCUGAGCCACCUCACAGAGCUGUGGGGACAGGUCACUUCGUCCCAUCAAACCAAGCAGUGCUGGGUCUCAAAGAGGCUAAGAUGGAAGGCCCCACUCCCUCAUGGAGGAAGGGGCUCCCCAGAGAUGUCCUCGAACCUGGACUCCUGAGAGCGUUUCCGGCAGGAGGCUCCUGCCCCUCGGGCACGAAGAGAGCAUCAGAUAGUCUAGCUCAUAUGACAUCUCCGGUCUCCAGCUCCACUUGCCGCAGCAGGGCAAACAAACCCAUCAGCUCCCAGAAUGCCAACUCUUUGACCUCCUUCCACUCCGCAGUGGAGUUUCUCCAGCCCCCCUCACCACACCUGCCAGCCUCUGAAUGAUGAAGGGCCUGAAUGUCAGGGUCACCAAAACAAGCAAACUCCAGUUCCAGGCAGUGGGGCCUGUGUGUACUCAGCCCCUCUGGAAACCAGGUCUGAUAUGGGAAGCAAGGACCCCAGACCAGUAACAGUAGGAGUGGACAGAGCAGGCCUGUAACAGGGUGCUUUCCCCUGGGCUGCACAACCCGGGGCUUAGUCAAGCAGAUUACAGAAUGAGCCCUAACUGAGAGACACCAUGUACCUCCCCCUAAAGAGCCAGACAUCAGUGGUGAUAUAGCCCCGCUGGUGUAUCAACUGGAACGAGAACAAGGUAGGAAGUUCAGUGCAGCAAGGAAAGCCUAGAGGGGAACUUGAGAAGAGAGGUAGGAAGUGCCCAGGGAAAAGUGCAGCAAAGAGAAAGGAGCAGACCUAGCUGUUGGGCACAGGACCCUGGGCUGCUACCGAUGUCAGGGUGGGACUGGGUUCCCCUACUGGCUCCAAAGAAGGGGGCGUAAACGCUCCUGGAGAGGGUUACCAGGCCCAGCAAGAGAGCUGCAGGCUAAGCAAGAGCCCCAGCAAUGGCAGAAGGACUUCUUUCUGUGGAAAGUCCUCUUUGGACGUUUAGUGUGAGACAAGCUGGGCCCCAGAAGGGUGGACUAAAGGUGGUGACCUGGCCAGAGGACUGAGUUACCAGGCAGAGAAACUGCCAUGGUGCUGGAGUGACCAUGAUGGGGGACACUAGCCCAGAGAGAGGGCUGUGAUGCCAUGCCUGGCCGCCAGGGGGACACGUAACGGUGAGUAGAUUCGUUUACGAUUGGCAUAGUCAGGAGGAUUGAAUUCCCCCUGUGAUCGGUGAGGGCUGAUGGAAGUCUUGGUGCUGAAGGAAGGUCUGUCCUCCCAAGCGGGUGUACCGAGGGACCAAGCUGGUCACUGGAUUUCCCACUUCAGUUUCAGGGACUGGUUAAGCAGCCAAAGCAGAUCUAGCGGUUUCUCCAGUAGCUCCCAGAAAACCAACAGAAGCAGAAGGAAGUGCAGGAGAAGUUACAGACACUGCAGCAGCAGCAAUACCUGUGAGAGAUCCUGCAAAGGGAAAUCAGCCCCGGGUCUGCUAUGCCCAUGGACAAAAAGAGCAGACACGGAGAGCAUGCCUGGGCUGUGCUGAGAAAGUUAGCCCAGGAGAGCAGGGCAUGAGAAAGUGUACAAGCAUGGCCUAAUGGCAAGAUGGGGACAAGAGUUCUUUGUUUUGGGUGCAGAGAAGCAGGCCAUAACAAAAGACACCGCCUGCUUAGGAAAUUGCUGAGUGGCAAAACGAGGGGCCGGGGCCCCAAGAAGGUAGAAAGAAAGGAGAAGGUGUCCUCUGACACAAACUCACAUGAGGCAGGCAACGUGGAGGUGGCAGGGAUGGCCGUGGACCUUGCAGUCCCUCCAUCAACACACCCUGUUGGGUGCUGCAGGGAGGUGAAGGACAAAAUGGUUGGCACAGAGAUGAAGCAGACUGAAGUAGGGACAAACACAAGGGUGGAGCAGUCCACGGUGGGUUCUCAGACCCUGACGGAAAAGGUUUUGGCGUAUGCAGCGGCAGUAACAGAAAGACUAUAGAAGAAGCUAAAGGCUUCAGAACAGGCUCUGCAAGCAGUUGUUAAUGAGAAUGAGUGGCUGCAGGAAGAGCGAGCUGGCAGUGGAGCUGGAGACACUGUGUGCGCAGGCUGUACAAGUGCACAACCGGUGACAGCGACGAGAUGACGAGGGAUGAAGCUUGGACAAAAAUAGAACUUCCCCCUGUGUGGGCCAGGUUCUAAGGAGAAGAGUAUAUAACAGGGGGGCUUGGCCUGUGGGCUAUAAAGCCUGGAGCUAGGCCAAAUGGAUUACAGAGUGAGAUCCACCUGAGGGGAAAGCCAGGGAAAAGCUCAGCAAAGGUACAGGAGCAGGCCUAGCUGUUAGGUACAGGGCCUUGGGGCAGAGCCUAGAAUCCAGGGUAGGAUUGGUUCUCCCAUGGUCUCUAAGAAAGGGGACGUAGAAGGCCAUAGAAAGAGCUACCAAGGCCAGCAAGGGCAGGCCGAGCCAAAGUCAGGCUGAGGAAGAGCCCCCAAAGGUACGGAAGACCUUGUUUCUGUUAAAGACAUUUUUGGACUUUUCGUUUGGGAUGAGCGUGACCCAGGAAGGAGUGGACUAAAAGACAGUCACCUGGCUGAAGGGCUGUUUUCCCAGCCAAAAAACUGCCAGAAUGCCCUAGCGACUAUCGGUGGGGGUGCUAGCCCAGCAAGAAAGCUGUGACAGCAGGCCUUGCCAGGAAGGGGCACCUGUCGGGCUCACCAUCCAUCUUGGAGCUGAACACCAGAUAGGAGCUGAUAGAUUGUCCUUGGUGGGCCAUGUUCUUGUGUGUGAUGGAGUUGUGUGGCAGAGAGGGCCAGGAGCAGAUGCACUGCGCUUGGCCAGGACCAGGCUAAACAGCCUGUAAUGCUAGGUGAGUCAAACCAUGGCCACAUAUAGACACUUGGGCAUCCAUGGGGACUGAAUCUGGGCGCUUCGCUGCCAAGAGCACAACUCACUCCAACUUGAGGUCAUUACGGUAGUGACCCCUGCCAGCCCCUCUGAGGGGGGUCAGUAUUAACUCUGUUAGCUGGUGCACAGGGAUGGAAAGCAACUGGCUGCAAGGUCACACACAACGUCAUUGACAGAGGCAGGAAGGAAGCAUGGUACUGAUACCAGUCCAGCUCCAACCACUAGACUCCACCCACUUCCAAAGUCAGAGAACCCAGGAGCCCUGACUCUGACAGCUAGGCCUUAAAUGACAAGACCAAACUCCCUCCCACUCAGGAAGCCAUAGAAGAGAUCAUCUGCUGAGCUCCCCUUUGCAAUGCCACUGUCAGAGACCAUUGCUAGUGGGUGCCAAGUGACUGAGCAGGGAACUCCUUGAGAGACUCCUAGAGACUUGCAGGUGUUUCACUGUGACCCUCUGGGAGCUGUGGAAAGAGACCUGCAUUGAAGAAACUCUCCUGCUCUAACAAAGGGUUUCUGUUCUCCUAGAUAGUCAGCCAGUGAGGCCAGUCACAGACUAAUGCAGUAACAGGGUCCAGGCUCAGUGUCAUGCAUUCCUCUGGGCUGUGACAAGCAGGAUUUGAGCUGCAAUGGAUCCUCCUGUGCAUGGGCUGAGUGGGCAACCUCUCUACUGCCUUAUCUGGUUCCCAGCCCACACGCACUAAGGAGGAGGUGAUGGACUUACCCCAAAGGUGGGUGUGGGAAGAAGCAGAGUGAAGGGGUGAUCAGAGAGCCAUCCCAUAGCAUUCCUCCUGGAGUCACUCCGACAACCACCUGGCUCCUUCCUGCCGUAGGCCGCAGCCCCUAGGUUCCAUAGGGAAUUUCUGAACUAACCCUCUAGAAAGCUGCCUCUGGCUCUCUACAAACUCUCACAGCCCUGUCACGAGAGGUAAGGAAUAAGGUCCUGCCUCCCACAACUGCUCAGGGGAAUCCUCUCAGAGAAAUCAGUGCAGGGUUUUCUGUAUCUCUACAAACAGAUCAGUUUGUGUGGUGUUGUCAAGAACCUACACACCCCUUGGCAGCUCUUUUUAGAGCAACAUUAACUCACACAGGGAUUUCUGCUCUAAGUGCUCCAGGCCUGAGGGAAGGAUUCUGUGGAAAACAGGCCUUUCCUUUGCUCCAAUCCAGGCUCUGCUCUUCUGAUGCUGCAGAGCUGAUAGGGAAGGCUUGAGGGUUCCUGGUGAGC